AUUGAACGCUGGCGGCAUGCCUUACACAUGCAAGUCGAACGGCAGCACGGGAGCAAUCCUGGUGGCGAGUGGCGAACGGGUGAGUAAUAUAUCGGAACGUGCCCGGUCGUGGGGAUAACGUAGCGAAAGCUACGCUAAUACCGCAUACGAUCUACGGAUGAAAGCGGGGGAUCGCAAGACCUCGCGCGAUUGGAGCGGCCGAUAUCAGAUUAGGUAGUUGGUGAGGUAAAGGCUCACCAAGCCGACGAUCUGUAGCUGGUCUGAGAGGACGACCAGCCACACUGGGACUGAGACACGGCCAGACUCC
rnacentral:rRNA from 1 species